rnacentral:tRNA from 1 species
GCUAGGUGGCUCAGUCAAUACAGUGCCUGACCUGGAGUCAGGAGGUUCUGAGUUCAAAUCUGAGCCUGAGCA